rnacentral:rRNA from 1 species
UUAAGCGACUAAGCGUACACGGUGGAUGCCCUGGCAGUCAGAGGCGAUGAAGGACGUGCUAAUCUGCGAUAAGCGUCGGUAAGGUGAUAUGAACCGUUAUAACCGGCGAUUUCCGAAUGGGGAAACCCAGUGUGAUUCGUCACACUAUCAUUAACUGAAUCCAUAGGUUAAUGAGGCGAACCGGGGGAACUGAAACAUCUAAGUACCCCGAGGAAAAGAAAUCAACCGAGAUUCCCCCAGUAGCGGCGAGCGAACGGGGAGCAGCCCAGAGCCUGAAUCAGUGUGUGUGUUAGUGGAAGCGUCUGGAAAGGCGCGCGAUACAGGGUGACAGCCCCGUACACAAAAAUGCACAUACUGUGAGCUCGAUGAGUAGGGCGGGACACGUGGUAUCCUGUCUGAAUAUGGGGGGACCAUCCUCCAAGGCUAAAUACUCCUGACUGACCGAUAGUGAACCAGUACCGUGAGGGAAAGGCGAAAAGAACCCCGGCGAGGGGAGUGAAAAAGAACCUGAAACCGUGUACGUACAAGCAGUGGGAGCCUCUUUAUGGGGUGACUGCGUACCUUUUGUAUAAUGGGUCAGCGACUUAUAUUCUGUAGCAAGGUUAACCGAAUAGGGGAGCCGAAGGGAAACCGAGUCUUAACUGGGCGUUAAGUUGCAGGGUAUAGACCCGAAACCCGGUGAUCUAGCCAUGGGCAGGUUGAAGGUUGGGUAACACUAACUGGAGGACCGAACCGACUAAUGUUGAAAAAUUAGCGGAUGACUUGUGGCUGGGGGUGAAAGGCCAAUCAAACCGGGAGAUAGCUGGUUCUCCCCGAAAGCUAUUUAGGUAGCGCCUCGUGAAUUCAUCUCCGGGGGUAGAGCACUGUUUCGGCAAGGGGGUCAUCCCGACUUACCAACCCGAUGCAAACUGCGAAUACCGGAGAAUGUUAUCACGGGAGACACACGGCGGGUGCUAACGUCCGUCGUGAAGAGGGAAACAACCCAGACCGCCAGCUAAGGUCCCAAAGUCAUGGUUAAGUGGGAAACGAUGUGGGAAGGCCCAGACAGCCAGGAUGUUGGCUUAGAAGCAGCCAUCAUUUAAAGAAAGCGUAAUAGCUCACUGGUCGAGUCGGCCUGCGCGGAAGAUGUAACGGGGCUAAACCAUGCACCGAAGCUGCGGCAGCGACGCUUAUGCGUUGUUGGGUAGGGGAGCGUUCUGUAAGCCUGCGAAGGUGUACUGUGAGGUAUGCUGGAGGUAUCAGAAGUGCGAAUGCUGACAUAAGUAACGAUAAAGCGGGUGAAAAGCCCGCUCGCCGGAAGACCAAGGGUUCCUGUCCAACGUUAAUCGGGGCAGGGUGAGUCGACCCCUAAGGCGAGGCCGAAAGGCGUAGUCGAUGGGAAACAGGUUAAUAUUCCUGUACUUGGUGUUACUGCGAAGGGGGGACGGAGAAGGCUAUGUUGGCCGGGCGACGGUUGUCCCGGUUUAAGCGUGUAGGCUGGUUUUCCAGGCAAAUCCGGAAAAUCAAGGCUGAGGCGUGAUGACGAGGCACUACGGUGCUGAAGCAACAAAUGCCCUGCUUCCAGGAAAAGCCUCUAAGCAUCAGGUAACAUCAAAUCGUACCCCAAACCGACACAGGUGGUCAGGUAGAGAAUACCAAGGCGCUUGAGAGAACUCGGGUGAAGGAACUAGGCAAAAUGGUGCCGUAACUUCGGGAGAAGGCACGCUGAUAUGUAGGUGAAGUCCCUCGCGGAUGGAGCUGAAAUCAGUCGAAGAUACCAGCUGGCUGCAACUGUUUAUUAAAAACACAGCACUGUGCAAACACGAAAGUGGACGUAUACGGUGUGACGCCUGCCCGGUGCCGGAAGGUUAAUUGAUGGGGUUAGCGGUAACGCGAAGCUCUUGAUCGAAGCCCCGGUAAACGGCGGCCGUAACUAUAACGGUCCUAAGGUAGCGAAAUUCCUUGUCGGGUAAGUUCCGACCUGCACGAAUGGCGUAAUGAUGGCCAGGCUGUCUCCACCCGAGACUCAGUGAAAUUGAACUCGCUGUGAAGAUGCAGUGUACCCGCGGCAAGACGGAAAGACCCCGUGAACCUUUACUAUAGCUUGACACUGAACAUUGAGCCUUGAUGUGUAGGAUAGGUGGGAGGCUUUGAAGUGUGGACGCCAGUCUGCAUGGAGCCGACCUUGAAAUACCACCCUUUAAUGUUUGAUGUUCUAACGUUGGCCCCUGAUCGGGGUUGCGGACAGUGUCUGGUGGGUAGUUUGACUGGGGCGGUCUCCUCCUAAAGAGUAACGGAGGAGCACGAAGGUUGGCUAAUCCUGGUCGGACAUCAGGAGGUUAGUGCAAUGGCAUAAGCCAGCUUGACUGCGAGCGUGACGGCGCGAGCAGGUGCGAAAGCAGGUCAUAGUGAUCCGGUGGUUCUGAAUGGAAGGGCCAUCGCUCAACGGAUAAAAGGUACUCCGGGGAUAACAGGCUGAUACCGCCCAAGAGUUCAUAUCGACGGCGGUGUUUGGCACCUCGAUGUCGGCUCAUCACAUCCUGGGGCUGAAGUAGGUCCCAAGGGUAUGGCUGUUCGCCAUUUAAAGUGGUACGCGAGCUGGGUUUAGAACGUCGUGAGACAGUUCGGUCCCUAUCUGCCGUGGGCGCUGGAGAACUGAGGGGGGCUGCUCCUAGUACGAGAGGACCGGAGUGGACGCAUCACUGGUGUUCGGGUUGUCAUGCCAAUGGCACUGCCCGGUAGCUAAAUGCGGAAGAGAUAAGUGCUGAAAGCAUCUAAGCACGAAACUUGCCCCGAGAUGAGUUCUCCCUGACUCCCUGAGAGUCCUGAAGGAACGUUGAAGACGACGACGUUGAUAGGCCGGGUGUGUAAGCGCAGCGAUGCGUUGAGCUAACCGGUACUAAUGAACCGUGAGGCUUAACCUU